rnacentral:rRNA from 1 species
AUGUUGAGCAUCCAUUGCCAUAUUCGUGCUAUUGAUAAACAGUCUCACUAUGACAUCAUUUUGCACCGUGGUUGCAUUAAUCAUAUUUACAACACAUUUGUGUGCACAAUGAUUGCAUUUCCUCCCAUGAAUGCUUUGCAUCUCAGUCAAGAACAUCUUGAUAAGCUUCAUGCGCUUUGUCACGACCAAUCUUGCCGCACGGACUCAUUCUUACAUGAUGGACACUUUGUGUGCGCUAACCAUUGUAUUUCCGAGUGUUGCUUUUGUUUGCUCUUUUUGCAUGUCUAUCACUCCAGCGACACCUUGGACUACUUGGAUUGCGCCAUGUCUUCAACUUCGUCCAACUACAAGUCCGUCUACGACAACCAUUUCCAUGGUGAUGAGGAUCAUGAUCCGAGGUCGGAUCUUUCGCAAGGGGGGGGGGGGGAGAUGAUGCGAAGCAUCCCACGUUCAUCCCCAUGUACACUCCGACUACUCUCCAAACCCCAAGAGGACAUAUGA